rnacentral:rRNA from 3 species
CGGUGUGAUUCAUGACUGGGGUGAAGUCGUAACAAGGUAGCCGUAGGGGAACCUGCGGCUGGAUCACCUCCUUAAU